UUGCGGUUAAAAAGCUCGUAGUUGGAGUCCUGCCAGGUGUUGCCUGUCUGCCCAAGUGGUACGAACACGGCACUCAUCUGGCCCUUUCUGGUGGAACGUAUCUGUACUUCAUUGUACGGUGCGGGAUACUAGACUUUUACUUUGAGGAAAUAAGAGUGUUCCAAGCAGGCUCUCGUCGUGUAUAGCUCAGCAUGGAAUAAUAGCAUUGGACCUCGAUCCCACGCUGUUGGUUGCUAGGAGCGAGGUAAUGAUGAAGAGGGAUAGUUGGGGGCAUUCGUAUUUAACUGUCAGAGGUGAAAUUCUUGGAUUUGUUAAAGACUGACUACUGCGAAAGCAUCUGCCAUGGAUGUUUUCAUUGAUCAAGAACGAAAGUUAGGGGAUCGAAGACGAUCAGAUACCGUCCUAGUCUUAACUAUAAACCAUGCCGACUAGAGAUCGGAGGUUGUUCGUUUGGUGACGCCUUCGGCAUCUUGAAGAGAAAUCAAAGUCUUUGGGUUCCCGGGGGAGUAUGGU
rnacentral:rRNA from 1 species